GUUAACAUGUUGUGAUGGAGCUCUAGAAUCAAAAUCGACUGACUUAAUAAAGCAUUCCAAUUGUUGAUUUGCGUGCUGACAGUGAAGGUAUUCUGGUCCCACUUAAGACAUCAUUGUCACUUAUGGAGAUUGGGUUCAGGUAUCAGAGUGCUUGCUUCUUGUAUUUUGAAAAAAAAAUCUAGCUCACAGUGAAUGUAUCAGAUUGCUUGCUUCUAGUAUUUUGAAAGAAAAUAUCUAGCUCACAGUGCAUAUAUUUGAACUAUGAAGCUAGAUGCAGAUAGCUGCUGGCAAUAAGUAAAAUCAUCUAGAGCAAGGAUCGGAUGUCAAAAAGGAUUUGCUCUUGCUGCUGUUGAUUGGGAUGGUGUACUGAGCAUCCUAAUUUCAAUAGCUUGACAAGCAUUGUCAGCUUCAACUACACAGCUCUGAACCCUUAUGGACUUACGAAGGUUGAGUCACUCUCUGGGAGAUUUCCAAAUGAUCUGGAAAAGCGUGUAAUGUUGAACAGAGAUCAUCAUGCAAUUAUGCUUCAGGAGGUUGGAGGGAAUGCCUUCACAGGUAGUGCCUUCGCGAUGUGCUCCAUAUCAUGGUGACACGGCAACGAGCUGCGGGGAGGCCGGUGGUGAGCUGCGAGCGGCCUGUGACGAUCGUCUGGAGGGCAACAAGCUGCUAGGAGGCCGUUGACGAGCUGCACGGGGACGGCAACGUGCUGCGGGGAGGGCGCCGAUGAUCUGCUGGAGGCGGUGACGAGCUGCCGGAGGCUGGCAACGACCUGCUGGAGGCGGCCAUGAGCUUCUGCUUGUAGUCAAGAGUGUGCUGGCUUCAUGUCUUGCUCUGUUUUGACCCGUGAGGGCUAGCGCACCUGACGUGCAACGUAUUACAUUGUGGCAAAGUAUCGAACGAAGCUGUUGCAUGCAAUCCUUUUUAGCAAACUAACAGGUUUAUGUACAACAAUGGCUAGUUCUGAAACUUCACCUAUAUGGCUGUAUUAAAUAUGCGGAUACAUGAAGAUAAACGCAUUUUCUGAC